GCCGCCCCUCGCGAAGUUCCCCGCACCAAAAGCCUCGGGAGACAGCUAAUCUCGGCGGAGCCCACACUGGAGCCCUACUCGGCAAGGCCUCCUUCCCCGGCUCGGAGAGGAGGGCAGGGAAGCCCCCAAAUGUAUCCCCUUCUCGCCUCCUUGGGUCAUCAAGUCUCGACUGACACCGAGGGAAGGAAUCAAGAUGAUGACAUUUUAGGCAUCCCCACACCAAACCAGGGGGACUUGACUCGCAGUGCUCAAGGUCAACUCUAGGAAUAAGAAAAAGAUGCUCUCGGCCAUGGGAGGACACAGUGAGAAGUCAGCAG